rnacentral:rRNA from 1 species
GCUGCUGGCGGCAGGCCUAACACAUGCAAGUCGAGCGAGAAAGCACUUCGGUGUGAGUAGAGCGGCGGACGGGGGAGUAACGCGUAGGAAUUUGCCCAGUAGUGGGGGACAACAUGUGGAAACGCAUGCUAAUACCGCAUAUGCCCUAUGGGGGAAAGCAGGGGAUCUUCGGACGCUAUUGGAGAAGCCUGCGUCGGAUUAGUUAGUUGGUGGGGUAAAGGCCCACCAAGGCGACGAUCCGUAGCUGGUCUGAGAGGAUGAUCAGCCACACUGGGACUGAGACACGGCCCAGACUCCUACGGGAGGCAGCAGUGGGGAAUAUUGGACAAUGGGGGCAACCCUGAUCCAGCCAUGCCGUGUGUGUGAAGAAGGCCUUAGGGUUGUAAAGCACUUUAGUCAGGGAGGAAGACUAUCAGGUUAAGAGCUAGAUAGUUUGACGUUACCUGAAGAAUAAGCACCGGCUAACUCCGUGCCAGCAGCCGCGGUAAUACGGAGGGUGCGAGCGUUAAUCGGAAUUACUGGGCGUAAAGGGUUCGUAGGUGGUUAGAUAAGUCAGAUGUGAAAUACCUGGGCUCAACCUGGGAGGUGCAUUUGAAACUGUUUGACUAGAGUAUAGUAGAGGAGAGGGGAAUUUCCGGUGUAGCGGUGAAAUGCGUAGAGAUCGGAAGGAACAUCAGUGGCGAAGGCGACUCUCUGGACUAAUACUGACGCUGAGGGACGAAAGCAUGGGUAGCAAACAGGAUUAGAUACCCUGGUAGUCCAUGCUGUAAACGAUGAGUACUAGCUGUUGGUCCUGGUGUAAAAGGAUAAGUGGCGAAGCUAACGCGAUAAGUACUCCGCCUGGGGAUUACGGCCGCAAGGCUAAAACUCAAAGGAAUUGACGGGGACCCGCACAAGCGGUGGAGCAUGUGGUUUAAUUCGAUGCAACGCGAAGAACCUUACCUACCCUUGACAUACUGAGAACUUUCCAGAGAUGGAUUGGUGCCUUCGGGAACCGCCAUAGAGGUGCUGCAUGGCUGUCGUCAGCUCGUGUCGUGAGAUGUUGGGUUAAGUCCCGCAACGAGCGCAACCCUUACUGUCAGUUGCCAGCACGUAAUGGUGGGAGCUCUAAGGAGACUGCCGGUGACAAACCGGAGGAAGGUGGGGACGACGUCAAGUCAUCAUGGCCCUUAUGGGCAGGGCUACACACGUGCUACAAUGGCCAGUACAAAGGGUUGCGAAACUGCGAAGUCGAGCGAAACUCAGAAAGGUGUUCUUAGUCCGGAUUGCAGUCUGCAACUCGACUGCAUGAAGUCGGAAUCGCUAGUAAUCGCGAAUCAGCAUGCCACGGUGAUACGUUCUCGGGUCUUGUACACACCGCCCGUCACACCAUGGGAGUGGGUUGCAAAAGAAGUAGAUAGUUUAAC